rnacentral:rRNA from 1 species
AUCACUAUUGGGUAGCAAUAUUCGGUAGUGGGAGUGGCGCAAGGGUGCGUAACACGUGGGUAAUUUGCCGUAAAGUCUGGGAUAACUUGCUGAAAGGCGAGCUAAUACCGGAUGUGAUUGCUGGAGGGCAUCCUCUGGCACUUAAAGUCGGGGACCGUAAGGCCUGACACUUUUCGAUAAGCCCGCGGCCUAUCAGCUAGUUGGUGAGGUAACGGCUCACCAAGGCUAAGACGGGUAGCUGGUCUGAGAGGACGACCAGCCUCACUGGAACUGAGACACGGUCCAGACACCUACGGGUGGCAGCAGUCGAGAAUUUUUCUCAAUGGGGGAAACCCUGAAGGAGCGACGCCGCGUGGGGGAUGAAUGGCUUCGGCCCGUAAACCCCUGUCAUUUGCGAUCAAACCUUACGACCUAACACGUCGUAAGCUGAUAGUAGCGGAAGAGGAAGGGACGGCUAACUCUGUGCCAGCAGCCGCGGUAAUACAGAGGUCCCAAGCGUUGUUCGGAUUCACUGGGCGUAAAGGGUGCGUAGGCGGUCGGGUAAGUCUGACGUGAAAUCUUCGAGCCUAACUCGGAAACUGCGUCGGAUACUAUUCGGCUAGAGGAAUGGAGGGGAGACUGGAAUACUUGGUGUAGCAGUGAAAUGCGUAGAUAUCAAGUGGAACACCAGUGGCGAAGGCGAGUCUCUGGACAUUUCCUGACGCUGAGGCACGAAAGCCAGGGGAGCAAACGGGAUUAGAUACCCCGGUAGUCCUGGCCCUAAACGGUGCACGUUUGCUGUAAGAGGAAUCGACCCCUUUUGUGGCGAAGCUAACGCGUUAAACGUGCCGCCUGGGAAGUACGGCCGCAAGGUUAAAACUCAAAGAAAUUGACGGGGGCCUGCACAAGCGGUGGAGUAUGUGGCUUAAUUC